rnacentral:rRNA from 1 species
UACAGAGGCCACGAGCGUUAGGCGGAAUCACUGGGCUUAAAGCGUGUGUAGGUGGAUGGGUAAGUAACCUUGUGAAAUCCCACGGCUCAACCGUGGAACUGCUUGGUAUACUGCCUGUCUUGAGGCACUCAGGGGCGAGCGGAACAAAUGGUGGAGCGGUGAAAUGCGUAGAUAUCAUUUGGAACGCCAAUGGUGAAGACAGCUCGCUGGGGGUGUACUGACACUGAGACACGAAAGCCAGGGGAGCAAACCGGG